rnacentral:lncRNA from 1 species
CUUACUAACAAAGUAGCACAUUUGGAAAAGGGUCAAAUACAAGAUUCCUAGAAAUAUGUGUUUUUUUAUUUUGAAAUUUAUUUAACAAACUUACACAUUAGGUUUCUUAAAAAUUGCUUAUUUUGAUUUUGGGAAUAAUUAUCACACCAAACAUUUACAUAUAUUAGAAGGGAGAGUUCUUUGUCAUUCCUGUAACAUGCAAAUAUCUGCAGUUUUCAUUUUAAUGGUUUAUGCUAUUCCUCUCUGCUCUAUUUCCAGUGCUACUGGACUAGACCAAAGAGUGUCCAAUCAACUCAAGUGAUGAAGUUCUGGGCCUGAAUGUUUUUUUCUUUUACUAUAAUAUUCCAUCAUUUAAUCCAUCCUUUGCUUGAUUCAUAAAAAGUCAAAUUUGAUCAUGUCACCUCUUCAAUGCCUCUGUAUUCCAUAGAAGAUAAAUUCUAAAUGCUUCAAUAUGAAUGUCUUCUGAAUCUGUUUUCAAGCUACCAUUUCCAGGGUCAUUGUUGACCAUGUUUAUUCUCUAUACCCCUGUGUAGUUUAAUCCCCAGCUGCUAUGAAAUAAUUCCAUGAGCACGACACAUCUUUUUACACUGCUAUAUUUAUUACAUCUUUGUACAAGAAUUACAUCCUAUGCCUAGAAUAUUAUUUGAUGUCAACUCUCUUUAAAAUUAACACCAAUCUUACCUUCCUAUGAAGUAUUCCUGAGGGGCAUAGAAGAGACAGUCUUGCCCCGCCUAUGAAGUAUUCCCACCUUCCCCAGAAAAUCUAAACAUUUUGUAUAUACCACUAUGAUAUUGCUGUUUUUUUCCUCUUCAAUUAUCCUAUACCAUACAGAUAAAUUAUUCGAUAUUUAUAUAAUGUACUGGCUGCAUCUAUUGGGACUAAAGAGAAUCUUAUAUUUUCAAAAAUAGUUAAAAUAAAAACUUUCAUACCAAUAUAAAAUGAACACAUAUCAAAGAGUUUGUUCAAUUCCUUAGUUAAUAAGAGAAUGACUAAGAUAUUACAACUGAUUCAAAGGAGAAAUAAAGUGCCAUAUCUAGGUAGGUCUGACAGGAAAGCAAAAAUGAAUUUACAAAUAGUUACAAAACUGGCUUUUUCCACUGGGAAAGGGACUGGGCAUCAAUUGCCCUUCCAUCUGAUUGUCUGUGGACAAGAUCACAUGCCUUGCCAUGUAACAGUUUAGAGAAAUAAAAAUAGUUCUGACAAAGUUGGGGAUAAUCUGGAAGAGUGCAUAGACAUCUGGUAAUAUACAAUUUUUUUGCCCAUUUUCAACUAUUUCACAUGUUUUUUCCUGGGAGUAGUAAUAAAAAGUCUUUGAACAAAAUUCACAUUUGUUUCAUGAAAGCAGGUACAUGCAAAACGACCUCCAAAUGCAGAAGGAGCCAAGAAACCAAAGGAGCCAGACACGUUCAGCUUGUCAUUAUAGGGGGAUUUUAUUGGGUAAUUUACUGACAAAAGUGUCGUUUUGGAAGCCAGAAGCUAGGUAGAUGUCCGUGCCAUUAUCCCCCAGACCCGGGGAUUAUACAACAUAGGGAAAGGAUACAUGUGCUUCAGAGGAAAUGGGUACAAAUCGUAUCUAAGGGCAGAAUUUAUGGUAAAGUGUGUGCUUUUACACAGGAAACAAUAAAGGAACAGGAAAUCUCAGAGAGAUUUCUAGAACUGUAAUCAGAAGUCAACGUGGCAGAUUAUUUUCUCAGAUGGAGUUACUUUAGCGUUCACAUUUUAUACGAAAGUAUGUUAAGAAAACAAAGUACAAAAGCUGGGAAAUCACGUGUCUAAGAUCUUUGGUGUCUAAGAGACACGGUGCUUGCUCAGUGCCUAUGGGAACCUUGACAUUAUUAACUGGGAUACAUAGAAUUUAGAGUACUUUUGAGAACACUAAAAGAAUAAGUUACUCAAGCAUAUAAAUAUGUAUUUGAAAAAGUAUUAUAUUUCACUGAAUUUAUUUCAAAUAAAUGAUGAUUAAUUCUGAGGUCAACAUAAGGCAAACAGGGCAUUUCCAUUACAAGGAGAGCAUUCCUCCAGGAACUUCAUUCUAAUCUUGAUCACUCAGAACAUUCUGUAUUAGUCCAUCCUCGCACCACUAUAAGGAAAUACCUGAGACUGGGUGAUUUAUAAAGAAAAGAGGACUAAUUGGCUCAUGGCUCCACAGGCUGUACAGGAAACAUGAUCUGGCAUCUGCUCGGCUUCUGGGAAAGCCUCAGGAAACUUACAGCCACGGCAGAAGGCAAAGAGGGGAGAGCAGUUCACAGGGCUGGAACAGGAGGAAGAGUAACAGUGGGGAGGUGCUAAACACUUUUAAACAACCAGAUCUCACAAGAACUCACACACUAUCAUAAGAACAGCACUGAAGGUGCUGGUGUUAAACCACUUAUGAGAAAACACUGCCAUGACUCAAUCACCUCCCACACUGGGGACUAUAAUUUGACCUGAGAUUUGGGUGGGGACACAGAUCUAAACCAUAUCACAUUCCUUUCCAAAAUCUGAUUUCAGCAUCAUCUUCUUAAUAAAAUCUAACCUUUUACAUAUAAGAGAAACAUCGCUCCUUCCUCCUUUGUGAUCCACAUUAUCCCUACGGACACUUCUGUUACAGCACAAAUUCAUAUUUAAUCCAUUGAUUUUUCAUUUGUCAAUUUCACCAAGUUCCUUGAGGGUAGGCAUUGUGUCUAAUCCAUCUAUUUUCCCAGUAUCUCACAUAUUUGUCACACAGGUGAUUUUCAGAAAUGUUUAGUGAAUAUGUGAACAAAAAGGAAUAAUAUUCAGAAUGAUAAAUUCAUUUUUAAAUAUAUUAAUUGAAGCUUUCUUAUUUUUGAGUGUUUUAAUACAUCAAAUUAAUUUAAAGAUAGCAAUGAUAAACAUACUAGAGAAAAUACUAAAAUUAACAUCAUAAAUUUAUAGCCCACAUGUAACUAACACUUCGUAUACUUCCAAGAUUGUCCAGGUCAUACUAUGAAUAGAUCUUUCAGUAAAAUAACUCCAAAAUUGUUUUAAGAAUAUAUUUAACUACCACUAAUUUGUAAACAUAUCGGUUAAACUGCAAAACAGUAUUUAUUUAAAAUUUUAAAUCCAUAAUAAUAAAACUUACUAGAAGAUAAAAUAUUUUCUGCAUAGACUUGAUAUUACCUUAUCGCAUAGCUAUAAGUAAGGCUCAGUAUAUAAAAUAAAACUGGUUUAAAGCCUUGUCUAAUAUACUGUUGAUUUCCUGCUUAAAUGCUUCUGAUAGAGUUUGUGAGCUAAAGUUAAUUAUGAAGGGAAUUGUGACAAAUUACCUUGCAUAUUAAUGGUUCUAGUGGUUAUAUCUAAAAUUUAUAUUAACCUAAACUCAUGGGAAUGAAAAAAAUGCAUAAUCUUUUCUAAUGGGAUUGGGAUUGUGUGGCUCUGAGGCUGUUAAGUCUGGACUGAUGCUGGAAACUAAUAUCAAUGUUUAACAGGGUUGACUGUCAUUAAUGAUGUGCCUAGCUGUGGGUACAGAUGCUUUGCACAUUACUACCCUCUAUUCUCACAAUCUUCCAUGGGGGAUGUAUUAGAAUCCCCUUUUAUAAAGGAUAAAGGUGAGGGUCAGAGAGAUGAAGCAUAUCUUCCAAGAUGAAACAGAUAGUGAAUGCCCAAUGAAAGUAAAGCUCAAUGAAGGAAAUACCCAAGACUAUUCCUUGCACUCAAGCAGUGGUGAAGGGGGCUCUCGGAACUUUUCACACAUGGGAGUGUCUAUAUGCACGUUGGACCCAGAGCACUUGAUAAGGGAAAUCACUCAAGCAGUGGUGAAGGAGGCACUCUGAACUUUUAACACAUGUGAGUGUCUAUAUGCACGUUGGACCCAGAGCACUUGAUAAGGGAAAUUUAUUGCCUUUUUGAUUUUCCAUAUUCAAAUUUGAGAAAUUGCUUAUGAUAAUUAAUACAUUAAUUAGAGAUGGAAAUCUUCAAAUCAGCCAUAUAAUGUGACACAAAAUGGCAAACACCAAGAAAAGCAGAAAUUGAUAUUAAUUAAGUUUAAAAAUAGGCCAAUGAUAACUUAUUAAACUAUUUAGAAAAUAGUAAAUGAGGACAGCUCUCAGACAGUAAUGUAAGGCAAUGAUUCAACCAGUAAAACCUGCCCCUGAGAGGCUUUGGGGCAGCCAGGUCAAGUAAGAAGUUCUAAAGGCUUUUGUGCUUUAGCGGGCUGCAGGUGAUGGUCAGCUCUCUAAGAGUGGGGAAUUGUACGACUUUAUUUGUAGAGAGAGAGCAGAGAAGUAUUUGAACAAUAACUGGGCUCCAGGGGGACUAGAGGGACAGCCACCUCUCUCUCUUUGUUUUGACAUUCUUUUCUUCUGCUUCCAGAUUCAGCCCUGGUGAGUCAAGGGGAAGUGGACUAGUAAAAAGUUGAACAGUUCGAGUUUGAGUCCCAGCCCAUGGCUAGAUGGUUGUUAGCUGUGCUUGUAUAGCCAGAUGCUAGUGUGUCACCCCUGAAAUGCUUCCUUUUCUAUCAGUGACAAGUUAGAAAACAGGCAGAACCCUCAAACGGAGGUACUGGAGAAGAAUUUUAUGAAGGGGAUACUCUUAGAUCCGUGAACAGGAACCCAAAAGGGAUGGCAUGGCCCCCAGAGACGUGCAAGAGCAAAGCUCUUAACCCUCCAGGCCUGAAAAGCAAAGAGGAGGGAGGGGCUGUGUAAACCUGGGGAAAGCUGACUUAAGUUCAACUACGUUUCUGGUGAUAAACCUGUUCAAUGGGAAGAUGCUAGGUAAUAAAACACAUGGACUCUUAGUAGAUAAUGAAAGACAUGGACUCUUAGUAGAGUUAAACAAAUCCUCUAUACAGACGAGCUGUAACUCACAUGGGCAUGUGGUGGCAGCCUAGAGGUCUAGAAGGUUCUUCCCUUGCCUUUCACGAGCAGGAGUGUGAUGCUUCUUGAUCUAGUGCAGCCAGGUUGCUCCACUUGCCCACUGACUUUUCUCUUUUCCAAAAGGUACUUACCAGCCUCUCCUCACUUCCAUCUUGGCCUUAUUCUCUCUCACCAAAAUCUACUCCUCUUAUUUGAAAUUAAAAAAGAAGCAGCAGCAUUUCUGUUGAACUCACGGGUACAAAAUAAUAACAACAGCAGAGCUGGGAAUUGUGCUAGGAACUUUAUAAGACUUUGUCUCAUUUAAUCCUCAAUACAGCUUUAGCGUAUUUUUCUAGAGGAAAAAAUACGAGGAUCAUCUCCAUUUCAUGAGUUGGUAAGUAGAGAAGACUUUUGUCUGUUUUUUAACUAAUUAUACUAGUUGUUCAGGCCUUUAUCCAAGCCAUCUAAACCUAAGGGUAACUUCGUCUCAGUGAUAUUUCCAAAUAAAGAUUUUUAAAAUUUCUUUUUCAUACUUUGCAAAUAUUCACUGACUCUAUGAAUUUCCAAUGAAAUUUAUCUAUAGAAUGUCCAUAUCCCCCACAUAUUUUUUACAAAAAGGCCCACAGAAAACAAAUCUUUAAUAAAAUAAGACACACUGUUCAUACAGUUUUUAUUUAACAUCUUUCAGCAUUUCUUUAUAUGCUCCCACCCACAUGUGAUUCUCUGGCACAUAAUGGGAUAUCUGCAAGAUGAACUCAGAUUGUGAUAUGUAGCCAAUAGGAGACAAAAUGCUCAAUUUAUGGGUUACAUGAAGAUAACACUUUACCCACUAAUUCACAUGAAAUUCUCCUUGUAGCUCACUUACACAGAAGUGGGAGAGCAAACACAUUCUCUCAAAAUAUCAAGGUGUUCUAUUCUGAGAACAGCAGAAUUCGAUGCAGGUGGCUAUUGAAUUAGCUAUUAAUAGUUGAUUAGAAGGAUAUAUUUUAGAACAUUCUAUUUCUCUCCAGAACAAAGAAGAGUCGAUUUUAAACAGAACUCUCAGCUUCUAAUAGUAUGUGUGAUUCCAUCAUACUAUUUUGUGAAAUAGAACUAUAAUUCAAACCUGUAAGUUAAUGGUAUUUGACAGAAAGGUACACAUCACAUUUUGCAGAAGAGCCUUGAUUACUUUCAGUGCUUCCUCGCGGUAAUAAAGUCUUGACAGCUUCCAUUUCUCAAAAGAAAAGCUUUAUUAUUUUCUCCUCAAUUCUAAGUAGUUACUUAACUUUAAAAUAGUUGCAAGUAAACAGGAAUUUCUUUGUUGAAAAAAAUAGAUAAGAAUUUCUUAUUCAGUUCCUCCCAAACUACUAUCACUUAGGAAAUUUAAAGUAACAAAUGGGUGCAGUUUAAAACUUCAAAUACUUUAAAAUGUUUUAGUUACCACUUAGAGACUGUAUCAAUCAGGGUCCAGGCAGGAAACAGAUGAUAUAUACUCAAAUCAGGUAAUCUGAGGAGAAUUUAUUAAAGGCAUUAUUUACAAAAGUGCAAGCUGUUGUGUGAGGAAAAUGCAAUGCCUGGUUCAGUACUGCGGGCAGGAACAGCAAGGCAUCUUCUUACACCUACCACUAAACAGCAAAGAAAAGAUCAGGUUACUAGAACCAUGACCUGUCAUCUGUUGACCGGGAAGCCGAUAGCCUGAGGCAAUCUGACUCAGAUUACUAGAACCCUGACCUGUGAUCUGUUGACCGGGAAGCCGCUAGCCUGAGAAUCUCAUGGUGAGAAAGGAGAAGAAAUUAUGGGGGAAGCCGAUAGCCUGAGGCAAUCUCACUCAGGUUACUAGAACCGUGACCUGUGAUCUGUUGACCGGGAAGCCGAUAGCCUGAGGCAAUCUCACACAGGUUACUAGAACCGUGACCUGUGAUCUCUUGACGGGGAAGCCGAGAGCCUGAGGCAAUCUCACUCAGAUUACUAGAACCCUGACCUGUGAUCUGUUGACCAGGGAAACCGACAGCCUGAGAAUCUCAUGGUGAGAAAGGAGAAGAAAUUAUGGGGGAAGCCGAGAGCCUGAGGCAAUCUCACUCAGGUUACUAGAACCCUGACCUGUGAUCUGUUGACAGGGGAAGCUGAUAGCCUGAGGCAAUCUCACAGUGAGAAAGUAGAAUAAAUUAAUACCUUGGCUUCGCUUUCAUUCCUCCUUCUGAGUUUUUUGUGGCUUUCCAUUGGCCAAACCAACUGGAAGGCCAUUGAUGGAGUCCGUAUCAGUCAACCUUUCUGAGUACAAAGUAGGUUGGGAGAGGGUAGCAGUGUGGAUCUGGGGGGGAUUUGAAAGACAUACACGGGUACAUUGUUUUAGGCAAUCAGUUAAAUUUUUGCCUGCGGCUGAAUUUUGCUCUUAAAAGACAUACAUUUGAGUCAGGAAUUGUAAUUUCUAAGGGUUGUUCUAUAAUUAAGUUAUUCAAUAUAUUUUAGGAGGGAAGAGUGUGAUCCAGUUUGGACUCAUGAACUACACACAGCUACUAAAGUAUUUCAACAGUCCAAGACACCUGAACACAGUGUCACUCUGCCUAGAGAGCCCAAGGUAUAUCAGAGACAGUAGAUCAACAAGUCAACUGGUAGACUUUUGGGCAGAAUAUGUGACCUAGGACAUCAACCAUCUCCAGAACAAAGAGAAACAAUGGAAAUGUACUGUCUUUUUCAUAAGCCUCACCAGUGGUCAGUUCCAUCACCAUUAUAUACACAUUACUUCUUUUCCUGCACAAACACCCACACCCAUAACUACACAGGAAUCGGCAGCACCCUUUAGAUGACUGUAUCAUGGAAAAAAAUUUUGGUUGUACAACUGCUUCAAUAAUUAUUCUGCAAUUUCACCAGUAAUUAUAAAGUGUACACAUUUGGUCUCUUCCAGUCUGUCUGCACCUAUGAUCCAUUUAAUAAAUUCAACAAAUGUUGAUCAGGUUAUUUUUUCAUGCCAAGCAACAUCCUUUGUGGUGGGAUAAAGCACUGAAAUAAAGUUCUGUCUACAAGGUACAUGAUUUAGAUAAGCAGUAUUAUUAAAUAGUUGAUUCAAUAAAUCUGUAUCAUGUUCAUCAAUCCGCGUUUCCUACAGUUUUAUAUUCAUUUCAUGUGUGGUAAGAUAUCCUCCUUGCUUUUAAACAAUUUAUAUUUUUGCAGAAAAUACCUACAAGUCUAGGCAUUAUAUUGCUCUCUCCUCUCUUUUUCUCUUUUCUUCUCCAUUUUAUGAAUUAUGAAACAGUCGAAGGGCUUCAUUCAAGUGAGACAGAACAUUGCCAAGUGAAGCAUAACACGAUAUAUGUGGAAAAUAUUGUGAAGAUGUCCAAAAUGUAAAUGCAGAUUUGCAUUUUAUUUUUAUUUCAGGGGAGUAGAGAUGAGCUGUGCUAUGCACAUAAACAUUGAAGCAGUCACUGAUGCAUGAGUGCUUCCCUAUUUGUUCCAUUUUCAUCCACUGCAGUAUCCUUGGAUCAUGUUCUUGUUUGGCGUUUUAUUAGCAGGACAAGUGGUGGGCUGGUUUGAAGAAUACAAUUCAGGGUUUCUUUA